CUUGUGCAGGAGUCAGUGCCAGUCAAGACACAGCAUGGACAUGAGGGUGCCUGCUCAGCUCCUGGGGCUCCUGCUGCUCUGGUUCCCAGGUGACAGAUGUUCCGGCCAAGUGACCCAGAGUCCAUCCGUGGUGUCUGCACCUGUGGGAGGCACAGUCACCAUCAAUUGCCAGUCAAGUCAGAGUGUUUACGAGAACAAUUAUCUAGACUGGUUUCAGCAGAAACCAGGGCAACGUCCAAAGCUCCUGAUCUAUGAGGCAUCCAAAUUAGCAUCUGGGGUCCCCUCGAGGUUCAAGGGCAGUGGCUCUGGGACAUCAUUCACUCUCACCAUCAGUGGGGUGCAGGCUGACAAUGCAGGAACCUACUACUGUCAAGGAGCUUAUGGUACUAGUGGUAGUUACACUCACACAGUGAUACAAGCCUGA